rnacentral:ncRNA from 1 species
UGCGCAGGGCGUGUUUGAGGACGAUGUUGCGAAAGCUGACACCUUUGAGCCGUGCGGUGCGAAUGUAUUGCGCGGUCAUCACCUCGGUCAUCGACGCGCGCGUCAUGCGGGCGAUAUAGCCCAUCCCAUACAGCGCGAUGGUCAGCACCGGCAGGGUGAAAUUCUCGAAGGUUGCGUUU